rnacentral:rRNA from 1 species
GACGAACGCUGGCGGCGUGCUUAACACAUGCAAGUCGAACGGAAAGGCCCUGCUUUUGUGGGGUGCUCGAGUGGCGAACGGGUGAGUAACACGUGAGUAACCUGCCCUUGACUUUGGGAUAACUUCAGGAAACUGGGGCUAAUACCGGAUAGGAGCUCCUGCUGCAUGGUGGGGGUUGGAAAGUUUCGGCGGUUGGGGAUGGACUCGCGGCUUAUCAGCUUGUUGGUGGGGUAGUGGCUUACCAAGGCUUUGACGGGUAGCCGGCCUGAGAGGGUGACCGGCCACAUUGGGAUGGGGAAACGGCCAGGAGUGAAACGGGAGGAAGGGGGGGGAAAUUUACAAAGAUGGGCGGAGUCAGGAAGGAGCCACGCCGGGUGGGGGAAGGCGGCUUUGGGGUUUUAAACAGUUUUCGCGUGUGAAGAAGUGUGGUGGAGGGAAAUGGGUAAAGAGGCACCGGUAAAUACGGU